rnacentral:rRNA from 1 species
GACGAACGCUGGCGGCGUGCUUAAUACAUGCAAGUCAACUGAACUUAGGAUAGCAAUAUUUAAGGGAGGUGGCGCACGGUGAGUAACACGUAGGUAAUCUGCCUUUAGGUCUGACAUAACCUACCGAAAGGUAGGCUAAAAUCAGAUGAUGCAGCGGCUCGACAUCGAGACAGUUGUUAAAUCUUCGGAGCCUAAAGAUGAGCCUGCGUCUGAUUAGGUAGUUGGCGGUGUAAUGGACCACCAAGCCUGCGAUCAGUAGCUGGUCUGAGAGGAUGAUCAGCCACACUGGAACUGAGACACGGUCCAGACUCCUACGGGAGGCAGCAGUAAGGAAUAUUGCUCAAUGGCCGAAAGGCUGAAGUAGCAACGCCGCGUGGAGGAUGAAAUACUUUGUAUGUAAACUACCUGUAAGAAGGG